UCUAAGCUCAGUCAAACUGGUGGCUUUAAUUCAUCAAGGGUGGAAAUAGUUACACCUCAGGAAUUGACCAAGAUCACAAAUUACGACUCUUCUUUUCUUUCUUUCGGAUAGCUGGUGCUCAAAUAUUUACCAGCAAACCAGUGGCAUUCACCCAUUUUCCUCAAGGCAGAAGAGACACUAGUCUCGCUGGGAUACACUCGAGCAGAAUCUGGAAAGACUUCAGAUUGAGUAAAUGCUGAGAAAGUGCACUGGCCUCUGGCAGUUGGAGCUGAAUGAGGCAGGGAAGAGAACCUCGAGUCAACCACACCUAGAAUGGCUCCUCUUUGAGGACCUCAUCUAUUCAACAACAGGCACUGACUUCAACAUUGCAGCUAAGCAACAUUCCUUCCCGAUAAGAGAACAAGACCAUGAAGUGUAUCUGUUCAGUUUACGGAGGCUGUGCAUUGAGUGUCUUCAUGCCCUCUGCUUCACCUUUUGAUGUACAAGAGCCUAACUGAAAUGUAAGGAAAUGUUACAUCUCCACCCCAGAGUGAAAUAGAUGUAUGUAACAUGCAUGUUAGCUUACUAUGCAUGUGUGCAGCACAUUUGUGGCUAUUCAUAGUUCCUCCUAUAACCUGUUGAAUAUGUAUACUUAGCCAACUCAUACAGCACAAAUUCCUGUCUUAUCCUUUCCUCCCUCAAAACACCUGCUUCUCAUUUUCAGCCACGAGCUAUGCUUCUUGCCUGCAGGUUGCUCUACCCAACUUUAGAAUUAAAGCUCUCUUUUCUAAAUUUACAGAUUUUGUGACUUUUUCUGGUGACAGUAACAAGAACUAGAAAGAGAUGUAUCAUUUAGGGUUUCAUAUGCCAGGCAACGGAGUUUGGAAGGGAUUGACACAGCUUUGUUUAAUUGUAUCAAAUUUGAUUUUUAGAAACCUGUACUCUUCUAAAUACAGAUUCAAAUCUGAGGCUUAAGAAAAAAAAUAAAGCAAAAUAUUCACACUUAACACUAUACAUUUUCAGAAGGAGGUUAUAUAUAAGCACAGGACUAUACAAUCAGAUAUUGAUGGACUGAGUAGUGAUCAGUUCUUACUCAUAUGUUUUAUUCUUUGUAUUAAAUUGUAUGAAUGCAAGUAUAUUUAAUAGAAUCUUCCUUAUUUAAGAGGCAUCAAGGAUACCUCAUCAUAAUUCAGUAGACUGAUGCAUUGAGAAUUUUAAUAUUAUUCUAUUUGCUAAUAUUCCAACAUGAAUCAAAAGGUCUAUUACUCUCAGAUUAAGAUAUUUGGGUAAUUAAUGUUCAGAUAUGUGUUUAUAAAGUAUUGAGCUUUUGAAGAGGAACGUGGGUAAUUAUCACUAUUAAUUUUGCUCUAAAUUAUAUUUCGGCUUGUGCAAUUGUUAUAAGCACAGAUUCUGGCAAAUAUAAACUCUUUAAGCAAAACAUAUUUAGAGUAUCACAUUUUCUUUGGCUAAUAAAAUUAUAGUCAGUCACGAACAUUAUUGAUAUGUUGAUUUAAAAAGAUAUAGUAAAAUAUCUGGUUAAUAGUUUUUUAAAUGAGGAAAUAAAUGAUUACAGAAAACAAUAAAAUGCAGAAAUACUUUAAGAUGACUAUCUAAUUACUCCAGAAUUUCACUGCUCAUAUUUCUAAUUUCUGCUAUAAACACCCACACAGGAAUGUUGGUAAAGUCUUAGUAAAAAGAAAAAUAAAACUAAUAUCUAUUACUAAUGUCAUAUAUUAAGCCCUAAUAUUGUUGUCUACUCUUUCACUGAGCAAUGUACUCAUCUUUUAACCCCUUAGCAUCUAUAACUUCAGCCACAAAUUUCUUAUUUUAAAAUGGCUUUAUAGUCUUAAGGCUGAGGUUAUAUUUGAAAUGAACAAAAGUAUAGAGAUUGAAAUUCAGCAGUGCAAUUUUAUAACUUUACAAAUAAAGAUAUUAUUUGAGAUAUUGAGAAUUUUAACAUUCUCUGAGGCUUAAGAAAAAAUAAAGCAAAAUAUUCACACUUACACUAUAAAUUUUCAGAAGGAGCUUAUAUAUAAACACAGGACUAUACAUUCAGAUGUUGAUGGACUGAGUAAUGAUCAACUUUACUGAUAUUUCUUAUUCUUUGUUUUAAAUUGUUGACCGCAGGUGUAUUUAUAGAAUCUUCCUUAUUUAAGAGACAUCAAGGUUAAGCUAAGCUUUAUGGAUAAGGGCACAGCCUAAGACUAGAGGAAUAUUGUCUGAGACCAAGGCGUUUUCCACCUCUUAACAGAUAUGUAAUCUUUACUGCACUUCACUGAACAUUUGCUUUCCAUUUGUAAAACUGAUAAUAAAAAACUAACUUCUGGAGCUGCUGUAAAUAUUACCCUGAGAAAAAUAAUUAAAACAGUAAUGAAAACGUCUCAACACAGCGCAUGUCUCUCUUUGCAAGUUCAAUAUGAGUUAUUCUCGUUACUACUAUUCAGUUAGUGACACGGAGACCCGCGGAUGAUUGGUGCUUCUGUUGCAGUGGUUUUCAAAUGGGGUUGAUUUUAUACCUCAGAGGACAUCUGGCAAUGCCUGGAGACAUUUUUGGCUGUCACAACUGGGAGAAUAGGGUGCUACUGGCAUCUAGUGGGUAGAGGCCAGGGGUGCUGAUAAAUGUCCUGCAAUGCACAGGACAACAAAUAAUUCUCAGGUCUAUAUUGGCAAUAAUGAUGAGGCUGAGAAAUCCUGCAGUCUGGCACUAAGCUUCAUUAUCUUAAGAAUAAAUCUCAUCUCUAAAUAAUCUUUAAAUUCUUACUAGUGAUCACAAUGAAUAGGCUUCUUAAGGAAACACAUUUUAUUCUUUUCUGUAAUCAUUUAUUUUCUCCUCUAAACAACACUCUUUAUUAGACCAGGCAUCAUGAUGCAUGCUGGAGGUUCAAAGAUCAAAUACAUGAAGUUUGCCCUUAGUAAGAUCACAGUACAUUAAUUUAUAGAGGGAAACACAUAAUUGCCCUGCACUGAGAUGCAUAAAUCAUGAUGACAGAGAUGUUGCUUAUGAUGGUGGCAGGAGUGGGGGUACUUAAAGAUGUUGCUGGAGAGAUGGGAUGGAGUGUGUCAUGCAUGAUCUGUUCCCACUAAAAUGUCUGUGCACUUCACCUUCUAAACCAGGGGACAGGACUGAAAGGUUUGAAGCAGGAGAUACCAUGACUCAAUGUGUGCUUUAUAAAGCUUUUUUAGUGUUAGUAUAUACAGGAGAUGAAAAAUGUGAAAGAAGAGAUACACAAACCAAACAGGAUACAACUUAAAAGUGCAAACUAGAGAUUGUGAAAUUCCAAGUUUGGCCAGUGACAGGUUCAAGGGGAGAAACUUAUGAAUAGGGUUUUGCAUGAAUAGUUGAUGAAUGAGUAGCUGAGGGAGAGAAGAGAGGAGUCCUGUGACAUACCUAGAUUGCUGUGUCAGAGACUGGACUGAUACAGACUGGACUGAUGCAGACUGGACUGAUGCAGACUGGACUGAUACAGACUGGACUGAUACAUGUGGAAAGACAAAAGUGGGGAGAAAGGAUAAUGGGUUUAGUUUGAACAUUCUGAGCUGUGGGGCUGAUGUUUACAGAAUUUGGGAGAGGGAUUGCUUGGAGCAAAAAGAAUAAAGGUUGCCAAAAUACAUAUUUAGUUACUGGGACUGAGGGCUCGGUGCGGUGGCUCACACCUGUAAUCCCAGCAAUUUGGAAGGCUGAAGCGGGCGGAUCACCUGAGGUCAGGAGU
ensembl:lncRNA